UACGGGGGUGGCAAGCGUUGUCCGGAAUUACUAGGCGUAAAGGGCAGGUAGGCGGUUGUAUAAGUUAAUCGUUAAAGCCUCAUGCUUACCAUGAGAAAGGCGGUUGAUACUGUAUAACUGGAAAACGGUGGGGGAAGACGGAAUUCCUGGUGUAGCGGUGGAAUGCGCAGAUAUCAGGAGGAACACCGAAGGCGAAGGCAGUCUUCUAUGCCGGUUUUGACGCUAAACUGCGAAGGUGCGGGGAUCAAACAGG
rnacentral:rRNA from 1 species